rnacentral:rRNA from 1 species
UACGAAGGGGGCUAGCGUUGCUCGGAAUUACUGGGCGUAAAGGGCGCGCAGGCGGCCCUUGAAGUCAGGCGUGAAAGCCCCGGGCUCAACCUGGGAGGUGCGCUUGAUACUCGAGGGCUUGAGUGCGGGAGAGGAGAGUGGAAUUCCCAGUGUAGAGGUGAAAUUCGUAGAUAUUGGGAAGAACACCGAUGGCGAAGGCAAUCCCCUGGGCCUGCACUGACGCUCAUGCACGAAAGCGUGGGGAGCAAACAGG